rnacentral:rRNA from 1 species
CAGUAGCCACGGGAACACGGAGGGUGCAAGCGUUAAUCGGAAUUACUGGGCGUAAAGCGCACGCAGGCGGUCUGACAAGUCAGAUGUGAAAUCCCCGGGCUUAACCUGGGAACUGCAUUUGAAACUGUCAGGCUGGAGUCUUGUAGAGGGGGGUAGAAUUCCAGGUGUAGCGGUGAAAUGCGUAGAGAUCUGGAGGAAUACCGGUGGCGAAGGCGGCCCCCUGGACAAAGACUGACGCUCAGGUGCGAAAGCGUGGGGAGCAAACAGGAUUAGAUACCCCUGUAGUCCCUGUCUCUUAUAU